AUUGAACGCUGGCGGCAGGCCUAACACAUGCAAGUCGAGCGGAGCGGCGGACUGGUGAGUAAUGCCUAGGAAUCUGCCUGGUAGUGGGGGAUAACGUCCGGAAACGGGCGCUAAUACCGCAUCCUAUCAGAUGAGCCUAGGUCGGAUUAGCUAGUUGGUGGGUUAAAGGCCUACCAAGGGGACGAUCCGUAACUGGGCUGAGAGGAUGAUCAGUCAAACUGGAACUGAGACACGGUCCAGACUCCGACGGGAAGCAGCAGUGGGGAAUAGUGGACAAUGGGCGAAAGCCUGAUCCAGCCAUGCCGCGUGUGUGAAGAAGGUUUUCGGAUUGUAAAGCACUUGAAGUUGGGAGGCGUUACCAACAGAAUAAGCACCGGCUAACUUCGUGCCAGCCGCCGCGGUAAUUC
rnacentral:rRNA from 1 species